rnacentral:rRNA from 1 species
AUUGAACGCUGGCGGCAUGCUUUACACAUGCAAGUCGAACGGCAGCGCGGGCUUCGGCCUGGCGGCGAGUGGCGAACGGGUGAGUAAUGCAUCGGAACGUGCCCAGUAGUGGGGGAUAGCCCGGCGAAAGCCGGAUUAAUACCGCAUACGACCUGAGGGUGAAAGCGGGGGACCGAAAGGCCUCGCGCUAUUGGAGCGGCCGAUGUCGGAUUAGCUAGUUGGUGGGGUAAAGGCUUACCAAGGCGACGAUCCGUAGCUGGUCUGAGAGGACGACCAGCCACACUGGGACUGAGACACGGCCCAGACUCCUACGGGAGGCAGCAGUGGGGAAUUUUGGACAAUGGGGGCAACCCUGAUCCAGCCAUGCCGCGUGCGGGAAGAAGGCCUUCGGGUUGUAAACCGCUUUUGUUCGGGAAGAAAUCCUCUGGGCUAAUACCCCGAGGGGAUGACGGUACCGGAAGAAUAAGCACCGGCUAACUACGU